ACUUAGCUGCAAUUUUCAUGCUGAUUUCUAACAAUUUGCAGAAUCUUGUUGAAUUUCUUCUUUCUUCACUGCGGUUUUUUUUUUUUUUUUUUUUUUUUCAGACAGAGUCUUGUUCUGUCUCCCGGGCUGGAGUGCAGUGGUGUGAUCUCGACUCACUGAAACCUCCACCUCCUGGGUUCAAGUGAUUCUCCUGCCUCCACCUUCCGAGUAGCUGAGAUUACAGAUUUAUAACAGCAUUAUCAAAUCUGUCUGGUGUCUUUGAAGAGUUGUGGAACAGUGGAGAGAUCCAGGACCCAGGCCACGCCAACUGAUUCAAGUCUCUGGGAAGAAAUUUGAAUUAAUCUAAACUUGUAAAAAAUUAAGAGUGUCUAUACAAAAGAGAAUCAGCAUCAUAACUGCAAUAUUCAGCACAUAUUGAAGAUAUCAAUAUUAUUAUUUACAUAUAGAAGAUAAUAGCUUUGUGAAAAAUGACAAGUGGCUCUCCGUGGUCGACAGAGUUCUGCAGAGUUGUGAAGACUCUUCCUGCUUUCCCUUCACCUUUUGCCAUGAAUGUAAAUUUCCUAAGUCCUCCCAGUCAUGCUUCCUGUUAAACCCGUGGAACGAGACAGUGUCUUGCCAUGUUGUCCAGGCUACCCUUGAAAUUCUGACAUCAAUUACUCUUCCCACCUUGGCCUCCCAAAGCACUGGGAUUACAGACAUUAGCCAUCAUGCCCCACCAUGCUUGUUCCUCCCCUUCAGAGGAUGCAGACCUCACCUGACAACGGAGCCUGCUGAAACCUUGAUGUUGGACUUCUCACUCUCCAGAACUGAUUUUGAUAAUCUUUCCACAUUCUUACCCCUGAGAAACUUUUAA
rnacentral:lncRNA from 13 species